AGCUGUGUGGUGAGCACAAAGCGAACUAUUCUUUCGCCUUUUACUAAAGAAUACCGUGUGCACGCCACAAUACGCAGCAUACGCUAAUUUUUGGAGGGUGUCUUCUCUUUGAGGAGGCC
rfam:Brachypodium distachyon strain Bd21 chromosome 1, whole genome shotgun sequence.